rnacentral:tRNA from 1 species
GGCCGGCUGGCCUAAUGGUUAAGGCGUCAGUUUCCGGUUACAUGUUAGCUGAAGAUUCUGGGUUCGAAUCCCAGGUUGGUCG